GGGAAAUAGAGGGAAGGAGAGGAAUUUGAAAAGUUUAGAACUUGAAAGGUUGGGAACUUGAAAAGUCCUCUAAUGCUUUAAUAAAAAAGGCAAUAGUCCCUCAUCGGUAAUGGAAAUAAAAAUAGGAGAGUUUAAAUAAAUAAACACUCCUAUUAAUUAUUAAAAGGGUUGGAAAGAGGGACCCCUCGCACCGUCAUCGCUCGCUUCGGCUUUGGCUUUGGCAAAUGAUCGAUCGAGAUUUUCAAUUAAUCAGUUGAUUGCAACCUUGUCUUUAGAAUAUUUACUCUUCGUGUACUUUCCUGAAUUAAUCAGUUGAUAACAAAAAUUAACCUUGCAACCUUUCAGAAUAUAUUAUUCUUGCCUAUAAAUACCAUUCAGUCUUUACAAUAUUUACUAACGAAUUUUCU
rnacentral:misc_RNA from 1 species